UACGUAGGGGGCAAGCGUUGUCCGGAUUCAUUCGUCGUAAAGAGCGUGUAGGCGGCCAGGUAGGUCGGUUGUGAAAACUGGAGGCUCAACCUUCAGAGGUCGACCGAAACCAUCUGGCUAGAGUCCGGGAGAGGAGAGUGGAAUUCCUGGUGUAGCGGUGAAAUGCGCAGAUAUCAGGAAGAACACCCGUGGCGAAAGCGGCUCUCUGGAACGGUACUGACGCUGAGACGCGAAAGCGUGGGGAGCGAACAGG
rnacentral:rRNA from 1 species